UGGCUGCGAAAAGAGUUUUAAUUUUUUUCAGAGACCGUAGAAAAUUAGCGGUUUCAGGCGACAGGCACAUACGCCAAUCCUGA
rnacentral:ncRNA from 1 species